rnacentral:rRNA from 1 species
ACCCGCUGAACUUAAGCAUAUCAAUAAGCGGAGGAAAAGAAACCAACAGGGAUUGCCCUAGUAACGGCGAGUGAAGCGGCAACAGCUCAAAUUUGAAAUCUGGCCUCGGCCCGAGUUGUAAUUUGCAGAGGAAGCUUUAGGCGCGGCACCAACUGAGUCCCCUGGAACGGGGCGCCAUAGAGGGUGAGAGCCCCGUAUAGUUGGACGCCUAGCCUGUGUAAAGCUCCUUCGACGAGUCGAGUAGUUUGGGAAUGCUGCUCAAAAUGGGAGGUAAAUUUCUUCUAAAGCUAAAUACCGGCCAGAGACCGAUAGCGCACAAGUAGAGUGAUCGAAAGAUGAAAAGCACUUUGAAAAGAGGGUUAAAUAGCACGUGAAAUUGUUGAAAGGGAAGCGCUUGUGACCAGACUUGCGCCGGGCGGAUCAUCCGGUGUUCUCACCGGUGCACUCCGCCCGGCUCAGGCCAGCAUCGGUUCUCGCGGGGGGAUAAAGGCCCUGGGAACGUAGCUCCUCCGGGAGUGUUAUAGCCCAGGGCGCAAUGCCCUCGCGGGGACCGAGGUUCGCGCAUCUGCAAGGAUGCUGGCGUAAUGGUCAU